rnacentral:rRNA from 1 species
UGNAAGUCGAGCGGACCGACGGGAGCUUGCUCCCUUAGGUCAGCGGCGGACGGGUGAGUAACACGUGGGUAACCUGCCUGUAAGACUGGGAUAACUCCGGGAAACCGGGGCUAAUACCGGAUGCUUGAUUGAACCGCAUGGUUCAAUCAUAAAAGGUGGCUUUUAGCUACCACUUACAGAUGGACCCGCGGCGCAUUNNCUAGUUGGUGAGGUAACGGCUCACCAAGGCGANNAUGCGUNNCCGACCUGANAGGGUGAUCGGCCACACUGGGACUGANNCACGGCCCNNACUCCUACGGGAGGCAGCAGUAGGGAAUCUUCCGCAAUGGACGAAAGUCUGACGGANCAACGCCGCGUGAGUGAUGAAGGUUUUCGGAUNGUAAAACUCUGUUGUUAGGGAANAACAAGUACCGUUCGAAUAGGGCGGUACCUUGACGGUACCUAACCAGAAAGCCACGGCUAACUACGUGCCAGCAGCCGCGGUAAUACGUAGGUGGCAAGCGUUGUCCGGAAUUAUUGGGCGUAAAGCGCGCGCAGGCGGUUUCUUAAGUCUGAUGUGAAAGCCCCCGGCUCAACCGGGGAGGGUCAUUGGAAACUGGGGAACUUGAGUGCNGAANANGANAGUGGAAUUCCACGUGUAGC